rnacentral:rRNA from 1 species
UUGGUGGCGAGUGGCGGACGGGUGAGUAACGCGUAGGAAUCUACCCAAUAGCGGGGGAUAGCCCGGGGAAACUCGGAUUAAUACCGCAUACGCCCUAAGGGGGAAAGGCCGGGAUCUUCGGACCGGUCACUAUUGGAUGAGCCUGCGUAAGAUUAGCUUGUUGGUGAGGUAAAAGCUCACCAAGGCGACGAUCUUUAGCUGGUCUGAGAGGAUGAUCAGCCACACUGGGACUGAGACACGGCCCAGACUCC